AUUGAACGCUAGCGGCAUGCCUUACACAUGCAAGUCGAACGGAGUGGCGAACGGGUGAGUAAUGUAUCUGAACGUGCCCACUAGCGGGGGAUAACUACCCGCAAGCGUAGCUAAUACCUCAUACUAUUGGACCGGCCACUGUCGGAUCAGCUAGUUGGUGGGUUAGCGGCUCACCAAGGCGACGAUCCGUAGCUGGUUUGAGAGGUCGACCGGCCACACUGGGACGGAGAAACGGCCCAGACUCCUACGGGAGGCAGAAGUGGGGAAUGUUGGACAAGGGGGGAAACCCGGAUGCAGCCAUCCCGCGUGUGGGAUGAAGGCCUUCGGGUUGUAAAGCACUUUUAGUAGGAAAGCGGUACCUGCAGAAGAAGCACCGGCUAACUACGUGCCAGCAGCCGCGGUAAUAC
rnacentral:rRNA from 1 species